rnacentral:lncRNA from 1 species
UUUUUUUUUUUUUAUAAAACAUAGAUCAAAAGAGUUAGAUUACAUCGGGGAUGCAUUGUUAUUAUUCUUGCUUGAAAAUUUUUGCCUUUUGGAGGCAAGGGUUAUCUGUAAUUUUUUUAAGUCAUUGAUGGGCCAGUGAUAAGUGCUUGCCAGGUAGUUGGUCGUGGUACAUUAUCUAGCACUAUAGGUUCUUAUGCUGCUUGAAACAUCUGCAGGACUCACAGUAGGACUGGGUGUAAGUCAGUUUGGCCCUUUAGUUCUGAAAAUUUCAUAAUGGAGGGAGUUUCAAGUAACCAGAAGUUCCAAUCAUCCCACAGGGGUGAGUGUUACUCUCAUUUCCCAUAGCUUUUCUUUUUUUUUUUUUUUUUUUUUUUUUUUUUUUCCCAUAGCUUUUCAUCCAGUGAUCUGAUCUAUUAUUUCCAGAUAUUUUGGGGUCUGAAUAAAGGGGAAUAAAGAAGCUAGAUACCAAGAAAACACUCUGGAGUGCCUGAAACAUAAGAAUACAAAGUCAGUUCAUUUGACUUUUCCACCCAUUUCUGUGGGCUUUGCCAUCAAGAGUACCUUGAAAGGCUGUAGGUAAAACUCUGGGUGGAGUUGUCCGGUACAUAGCUGCCUCUCACUAAAUCUUACUUCCUCUCCUCACUCUCCUCCUAUAAGAGAUCCUCAUACACACCCACAGUAUUUGGGCAAACCUAAAAGUUGAUCAAAGAAAGAGAAACAAGAAAGUACAGUGCAGUGGCUUUAGCAGCUGUCAAGCUAUGUGGCUUUGGAUGUUUUUCACUUGAGUUAUUGAGUGACAACCACUUGCAAGUUAAUUAUCUCUCUAUAUCCGUUUAUCAGUUCUGUGAGAUGGGGCUUGUUAUUCUCACAGUUACAAAUAAGGACAAUGAUUAUCAGGAAAGUUAGAAAGUUCCCAAGAUCUACAGUUUAUGAGUGCAAAAUCUUGAUUAAAACCCAAGGUCUCGGGAUCCCUGGGUGGCGCAGCGGUUUAGUGCCUGCCUUUGGCCCAGGGCGUGAUCCUGGAGACCCGGGAUCAAAUCCCACAUCGGGCUCCCAGUGCAUGGAGCCUGCUUCUCCCUCUGCCUGUGUCUCUGCCUCUCUCUCUCUCUCUCUCUCUCUCUGUGACUAUCAUAAAUAAGUAAAAAAAAAAAAAACCAAGGUCUCUUUAACUACAGGUUAUGGUUCUUCUCUCCAUACCUCCUGAUCUUUGGCUCUGAAAGCGGCAUCUUUAAGAUCUUGUCCCAGCUCUAAAUAUCUACAUGGUUUAUUAUUUAAUUCAUUAAAAAAUAGAUGUUUUACUAUGCCAGCUGUAGCUGAAGAAUCAACAUGAAAUUUAAGAUCUAUGUUGACACAUACACACACACAAUAAUCAUAAUGCAGGACGGAAGCAGGAACAGUCACUAACUUCUGUACAGAGAAAUUGGUCUUGCUGAGCAGACCAAGAGAGACUUCCUGGUAGCGGAACAACAGGAUCUAGACCUCAAAUGUCUGCUGAGUGUUCAAAGCAAGAGAUCCCUCUAUUUCCCAGGCGCCAAAGCUCCCAAGAUUUUUCCAUUUCCAUUUUAAAGUUCAAUUCAUCUCAAUUCUUUCAAUUCAUCAUUUUUCUCAUUUCUUCUAUAAAUCACACAUACAUCAAUAUUCAAGUAAUACUGAGCUUACUGUCAAGACGUUCCUCUCAGUUUGUGAAGAGAAGGGAGAGAGUUUCAAACCUUUGUCAAUUAACAGAACUCUGCUUGGUUAGAAAUCAUACAAAAUUAGCAAACAAGAGUGCCACUCAUCGUGUGCCAAGUGUGGUUCUAAGUGCUUUACAUAUAUUAUUCUCAUUUAAUACAUAUUAUCAUCCUAUGAGAUAGAUACUAUUAAUAUUUACAUUUUACAGAGGAAGAAACUGAGACUCCAUCAGUUAAAUAAUUUACCAAAGAUCACUCAGCUAUCAAGUGUCAGAGCCCGGGUGUAAACUAGCAAAGGCUGGUUCUAGAGAAUGUGCUCUACACCAUUAUUCCACAUGGUAGGCUUACCCAAAUGGAUUUACCUGGUUUAUUGCUUUUAAGCAAUAAAAGGAGAAAAAUGAGCAUGAUUCUAAAUAUUUGGGGAAAACCAAAAGUGUUGUUAGUUUGCUUGUUUUACUAUAAACUUUUGGCUUCCUAAAUAGUCAUAGUUUAGUCGUCUAAAUUUUGUAGGCUGACAUUUGAAAAUUAUUGUUAAAGUAUUUAUAUUGUUAUUUUCCUAACUGUAAAUGUAAAUGAAGGUCAUUAUAGAAAAAAAAUUAAAAUAUAGACUAGAUAAAGAGGGAAACAAGUCACUUAUGAGAUAACCAUAUUUAUAUUUUGGAGAAUUUACAUUCUAGUCAAUUAUUUUUUCCUGUGUAUAUCUAGGUCUUUGCCUUCUGAAUACACAGAUUGAAGAUCAUGGUAUACCCAGCUCAGCACCUCAAGUUUUGUCCAUGUUGUGUUUUGUUACUAAAAUUUUUUCUAAAGACUCAUCUGUUUUUCUUUUUAAGAUUUUAUUUGUUUAUUUGACAGAAAGAGAAUGAGAGACCACAAGAAGGGGCGAGCUGCAGAGAGGAGAAACCGACUCCCCUCUGAGCAGAAAGCCAUAUGCAGGGCUCAAUCUCAGGGUCCUGGGAUCAUGAUCUGAGAUGAAGGCAGCCAUUUAACUGACUGAGCCCUAAGGUCUCAUCUUAAUAGUAGAAAAAAUAUUAUUCCACCAAGUGGAUAUUCUAAUUUAUUUAAUCAAACCUCUGUGUUAGGCACUCAGGCUAUCUCUAUUUCCCUUGUUAAAAUAAAUGCUUCCAUAAACAUCUUUGCACAUUUUGUUAACAGCAUGACUUUUUUAGGCUCUAUUAGGAUUGUAUC